CGGUGUUUAACUGGCGUGAUGUGGGACGUCCUACCGGUGGGCUUAGCCUCGCGAGGGGCGGCCCAACUAAUAUCCCGUCGCGGUGCUCUUUACUGAGUGUCGAGUCGGGCCGGUACGUUUACUUUGAACAAAUUAGAGUGCUUAAAGCAGGCUAUCCUCGCCUGAAUACUGCGUGCAUGGAAUAAUGGAAUAGGACCUCGGUUCUAUUUUGUUGGUUUUCGGAACCCCGAGGUAAUGAUUAAUAGGGACAGAUGGGGGCAUUCGUAUUGCGACGUUAGAGGUGAAAUUCUUGGAUCGCCGCAAGACGGACAGAAGCGAAAGCAUUUGCCAAAAAUGUUUUCAUUAAUCAAGAACGAAAGUUAGAGGUUCGAAGGCGAUCAGAUACCGCCCUAGUUCUAACCAUAAACGAUGCCAGCUAGCGAUCCGCCGAAGUUCCUCCGAUGACUCGGCGGGCAGCUUCCGGGAAACCAAAGCUUUUGGGUUCCGGGGGAAGUAUGGUUGCAAAGCUGAAACUUAAAGGAAUUGACGGAAGGGCACCACCAGGAGUGGAGCCUGCGGCUUAAUUUGACUCAACACGGGAAACCUCACCAGGCCCAGACACCGGAAGGAUUGACAGAUUGAUAGCUCUUUCUUGAUUCGGUGGGUGGUGGUGCAUGGCCGUUCUUAGUUGGUGGAGCGAUUUGUCUGGUUAAUUCCGAUAACGAACGAGACUCUAGCCUGCUAAAUAGGCGUACCUUAUGGUAUCGCGAAGGCCCCCGGCUUCGGCCGGUGGGUUUUUACUACCAACGUACAAACAAAUCUUCUUAGAGGGACAGGCGG
rnacentral:rRNA from 1 species